UGGCUCAGAACGAACGCUGGCGGCAGGCCUAACACAUGCAAGUCGAGCGAGGACUUCCGGUUCCUAGCGGCGGACGGGUGAGUAACGCGUGGGAAUGUGCCCUUCUCUACGGAAUAGCCCUGGGAAACUGGGAGUAAUACCGUAUACGCCCUAUUGGGGAAAGAUUUAUCGGAGAAGGAUCAGCCCGCGUUGGAUUAGGUAGUUGGUGGGGUAAUGGCCUACCAAGCCGACGAUCCAUAGCUGGUUUGAGAGGAUGAUCAGCCACACUGGGACUGAGACACGGCCCAGACUCCUACGGGAGGCAGCAGUGGGGAAUCUUAGACAAUGGGGGCAACCCUGAUCUAGCCAUGCCGCGUGAGUGAUGAAGGCCUUAGGGUUGUAAAGCUCUUUCAGCUGGGAAGAUAAUGACGGUACCAGCAGAAGAAGCCCCGGCUAACUCCG
rnacentral:rRNA from 1 species